GAUGAACGCUGGCGGCGUGCCUAAUACAUGCAAGUCGAGCGAACGGACGAGAAGCUUGCUUCUCUGAUGUUAGCGGCGGACGGGUGAGUAACACGUGGAUAACCUACCUAUAAGACUGGGAUAACUUCGGGAAACCGGAGCUAAUACCGGAUAAUAUUUUGAACCGCAUGGUUCAAAAGUGAAAGACGGUCUUGCUGUCACUUAUAGAUGGAUCCGCGCUGCAUUAGCUAGUUGGUAAGGUAACGGCUUACCAAGGCAACGAUGCAUAGCCGACCUGAGAGGGUGAUCGGCCACACUGGAACUGAGACACGGUCCAGACUCCUACGGGAGGCAGCAGUAGGGAAUCUUCCGCAAUGGGCGAAAGCCUGACGGAGCAACGCCGCGUGAGUGAUGAAGGUCUUCGGAUCGUAAAACUCUGUUAUUAGGGAAGAACAUAUGUGUAAGUAACUGUGCACAUCUUGACGGUACCUAAUCAGAAAGCCACGGCUAACUACGUGCCAGCAGCCGCGGUAAUACGUAGGUGGCAAGCGUUAUCCGGAAUUAUUGGGCGUAAAGCGCGCGUAGGCGGUUUUUUAAGUCUGAUGUGAAAGCCCACGGCUCAACCGUGGAGGGUCAUUGGAAACUGGAAAACUUGAGUGCAGAAGAGGAAAGUGGAAUUCCAUGUGUAGCGGUGAAAUGCGCAGAGAUAUGGAGGAACACCAGUGGCGAAGGCGACUUUCUGGUCUGUAACUGACGCUGAUGUGCGAAAGCGUGGGGAUCAAACAGGAUUAGAUACCCUGGUAGUCCACGCCGUAAACGAUGAGUGCUAAGUGUUAGGGGGUUUCCGCCCCUUAGUGCUGCAGCUAACGCAUUAAGCACUCCGCCUGGGGAGUACGACCGCAAGGUUGAAACUCAAAGGAAUUGACGGGGACCCGCACAAGCGGUGGAGCAUGUGGUUUAAUUCGAAGCAACGCGAAGAACCUUACCAAAUCUUGACAUCCUUUGACAACUCUAGAGAUAGAGCUUUCCCCUUCGGGGGACAAAGUGACAGGUGGUGCAUGGUUGUCGUCAGCUCGUGUCGUGAGAUGUUGGGUUAAGUCCCGCAACGAGCGCAACCCUUAAGCUUAGUUGCCAUCAUUAAGUUGGGCACUCUAAGUUGACUGCCGGUGACAAACCGGAGGAAGGUGGGGAUGACGUCAAAUCAUCAUGCCCCUUAUGAUUUGGGCUACACACGUGCUACAAUAGACAAUACAAAGGGCAGCGAAACCGCGAGGUCAAGCAAAUCCCAUAAAGUUGUUCUCAGUUCGGAUUGUAGUCUGCAACUCGACUACAUGAAGCUGGAAUCGCUAGUAAUCGUAGAUCAGCAUGCUACGGUGAAUACGUUCCCGGGUCU
rnacentral:rRNA from 1 species